UACGUAGGUGGCGAGCGUUGUCCGGAUUUACUGGGUGUAAAGGGCGUGUAGGCGGGAGAGUAAGUCAGAUGUGAAAUUCCCAGGCUCAACUUGGGCGCUGCAUCUGAAACUAUUUUUCUUGAGUGCUGGAGAGGAAAGCGGAAUUCCUAGUGUAGCGGUGAAAUGCGUAGAUAUUAGGAGGAACACCAGUGGCGAAGGCGGCUUUCUGGACAGUAACUGACGCUGAGGCGCGAAAGCGUGGGGAGCAAACAGG
rnacentral:rRNA from 1 species